rnacentral:rRNA from 1 species
CCUACGGGAGGCAGCAGUGGGGAAUAUUGCACAAUGGGGGGAACCCUGAUGCAGCGACGCCGCGUGAGUGAAGAAGUAUUUAGGUAUGUAAAGCUCUAUCAGCAGGGAAGAAAAUGACGGUACCUGACUAAGAAGCCCCGGCUAACUACGUACCAGCAGCCGCGGUCAUCCGUAGGGCGGACGCGGUAUCCGGAUGUACUGGGUUAAAAGGGGGCGUAGACGGGUAUGCAAGUCUGAAGGGAAAGCCAAAGGCUCAACCCUGGGACUGAUUGUGAAACUGUAGAACUUGAGUGCAGGAGAGGUAAGCGGAAUGCGUAGUGUAGCGGUGAAAUGCGUAGAUAUUAGGAGGAACACCGGUGGCGAAGGCGGCAUACUGGACUGCAACUGACGUUGAGGCUCGAAGGCGUGGGGAGCAAACAGGAUUAGAUACCCGGGUAGUC